UACGUAGGGUGCAAGCGUUGUCCGGAAUUAUUGGGCGUAAAGAGCUCGUAGGCGGUUCGGCAAGUCAGCUGUGAAAUCUCCACGCUUAACGUGGAGGGGUCAGCUGAUACUGCCGUGACUCGAGUCCGGUAGGGGAGUGUGGAAUUCCCGGUGUAGCGGUGAAAUGCGUAGAUAUCUGGAGGAACACCGGUGGCGAAGGCGGCAUCCUGGACCGGCAUUGACGCUGAGGCGCGAAAGCCAGGGGAGCAAACGGG
rnacentral:rRNA from 1 species